CCUACGGGUGGCAGCAGUGAGGAAUAUUGGUCAAUGGCCGGAAGGCUGAACCAGCCAUGCCGCGUGAAGGUCAGUGCCCUAUGGGCGUUAAACUUCUUUUGUGCGGGAGCAAUAAUGGUCACGUGUGGCCAGACGAGAGUACCGUACGAAUAAGCAUCGGCUAACUCCGUUCCAGCAGCCGCGGUAAUACGGGGGAUGCAAGCGUUAUCCGGAUUUAUGGGUUUUAAAGGGUGCGUAGGCUGUGAGGUAAGUCAGCGGUGAAAGUUUGCGGCUCAACCGUAAAAUUGCAAUUGAGACUGGCAGUCUUGAGUACAGUAGAGGUAGGCGGAAUUCGUGGUGUAGCGGUGAAAUGCUUAGAUAUCACGAAGAACUCCGAUUGCGAAGGCAGCUUACUAAACUGCCACUGACAUUGAUGCUCGAAAGUGUGGGUAUCAAACAGGAUUAGAUACCCGAGUAGUC
rnacentral:rRNA from 1 species